rnacentral:rRNA from 1 species
AAUGGGCGAAAGCCUGACCCAGCAACGCCGCGUGAAGGAAGAAGGCCCUCGGGUUGUAAACUUCUUUUAUCAAGGACGAAAAAAAUGACGGUACUUGAUGAAUAAGCCACGGCUAACUACGUGCCAGCAGCCGCGGUAAUACGUAGGUGGCAAGCGUUAUCCGGAUUUACUGGGUGUAAAGGGCGUGUAGGCGGGACUGUAAGUCAGAUGUGAAAACCAUGGGCUCAACCCAUGGCCUGCAUUUGAAACUAUAGUUCUUGAGUGUCGGAGAGGUAAUCGGAAUUCCGUGUGUAGCGGUGAAAUGCGUAGAUAUACGGAGGAACACCAGUGGCGAAGGCGGAUUACUGGACGAUAACUGACGCUGAGGCGCGAAAGCGUGGGGAGCAAA